rnacentral:rRNA from 1 species
UACAGAGGGUGCAAGCGUUAAUCGGAAUUACUGGGCGUAAAGCGCACGUAGGCGGUUUUUUAAGUCAGAUGUGAAAGCCCCGGGCUCAACCUGGGAAUUGCAUUUGAAACUGGGAAACUAGAGUGUGUGAGAGGGGGGUAGAAUUCCAAGUGUAGCGGUGAAAUGCGUAGAUAUGCGGAGGAACACCAAUGGCGAAGGCAAUCCCCUGGGCCUGUACUGACGCUCAGGUGCGAAAGCGUGGGGAGCAAACAGG